ensembl:snRNA U6 U6 spliceosomal RNA
GUGCUCACUUCGGCAGCACAUAUACUAAAACUGGAAUGAUACAGAGAAGAUUAGCAUGGCCCCUGCGCAAGGAUGACACCCAAAUUGGUGAUGCAUUCCAUAUUUUU